UUUUACUCUUUCUUCAUCGUGAUUCGAUUUCCGUUGUUGAUGCGAGAUUGAGGGAUUGAAGGUGAAGGCUUAGCUCUGUUGUAGCAGAGUUUCAGAGGUUGAAUCUCUGCUCAACAAUGGAGGUGAGCGUAUAGUGAUGGUGAGGGUGAAGGUUCAGGAUGAAGAAUGGGGGAGAGAAAGUGGAGAAGGAAUGGAGAGAGGGUUGAAGACGAUGAAUGAAGUGGGUGAAAAAUGGUCGAGCGGUUGAUGAGAGUUGUGAUAUAUGAAGAUUGAGAAAGGGUGAUUGUGUGAAAUGGCGUGGAGAGCUGAAACUAAGGGAGAAGGUGGUUUAAAUAAGUGAGUUGAGAAUUCAGUUGAGGGAGGAGUUGUUAGAACCCUUGGAUCUGAAGUUGGUUAUGAGGAUGAAAGAAUUGAUGGCGAAUAGAGAUUACUUGUUGAAGGACUAAUGGGAUAAUGUUGUGACUCGGUGUUGUUGUUCUCGUGUGCGAAGGUGAUACGAAGAUCUGGUGUUUGUAGUGUUCAGGUUGCGCGUGAGAUUGAUUGAGGAUCUGUGUUGGUUUAUGGCCAUCGAUGUGGGUUGGAUUGCAGGCAUAAUCUAGAAGUGAACCAAACCUCAAGUCUCGAUGUGAUUCGGGACAUGUGCUGAUGUAAUGGAUUCUGAAACUGGAUGAAUUGUAUUGGAGGGACGUGAUUUCGAAAUGUCUGAAUAAAUCUGAAUGUGUAUGCCAUACUAAUUUUGUGAACCUUGCUGGAACAUAUUGCUAACAGGUCUGUAACAUAUUGGCACAAGGGCAUAAAUUGUAUGUGCAGGUCUGAAAUUGUUGUUGAAAUAUGAUGCAGGAUUGGCCAUGGUAAUCUUCUUCUGUUAAUAUUCCAGCACUUGACUCAUCCUCGCCUCAUUCCGACAACUAAUCUGAACCUUCAAUCACAGGUUGAUCGGCUUGAGUUUUGGUAGAGUCUCUUAUCAAACAUCCGAUUCUUCCUUUCGAAGCUUCGGCAAAUUCAAAGAAUCGCCGCCCGUCAACCGAAACCUAGAAGUCAAAUAUGUGAUGAUCAAGCCUAGAACCAGUAAUACCAAUAUUCAAGUCACCCUCUUCUGUUGUAAACUCAAACUCAGCAGCAACCACAUUUGAGUCAACAUUAUCAUCAAUUUUGGGAGAUUUGUUCAAUUUGUUUACAACGGGAUUCUGUUUGUAAAAAAUAAAGUAUUAUUUUUGUACAGCAUGAUGUAGAUUUGGAAUUGUAAUGCUGCUGGGAUGUGAGGUGUUGUAUUGUAAUGGACAGUGCUUUGAAAUGCAUUUGCAAGUAACUUGAAUUUUGUAAUUGAAAAUUUAA